AUGGUGCUUUUGAGCGCGGCAACGCGACGGUGGACCUCACCUACAGCCGGAAGUACAACCACGACCUGUACCGCGUCUUCACGUUUAUUCAAAUGCUGUCGGGAAAGAAGGAAACAAACAAAAAAGCAGGAGAGAGAGUUGCGCUCGUUUUUUUUUCGCAAGCUAGCCGCUUUUGUUGCUGCCCACGGAGCCCCCCGCGAUGCUAACCACAGGAAACGCACAGCCCGAGCGAGGAGCCGGCGGGACGUUGAGGUGAUGAUAACCGGGAUAACAAGGGAGACGAUCGGCGCCAUGAAGCGCCCCACACCGGAGGUACAGUGGAUCCACAGCCAUAAAUCAAGUAAAUAGGAGGAUGUGUUUCAGACUCACCCGUGGAUCCGAUCAAUCGGGCUACCGGUGUCAAAAACUGUGUCCUACAGCCAGUGAGCUGCACAAGACUAUAGCUGUUCAGUUUCCUAUGUAGCCACGAGAUCAGGGCAGUGCAGAUUCUGUGGAGGAUUAUCAGCGAGUCCUUCCAAGGGGAAUUACCCUGACACGGCCAUCUGGACAGCAAGACAUUACCCACUGGGCAAACUAUUGUCCAGCAAACUCUGUGCGCCCUGAUCUGAGGAACGGUCAGUCGUCAGUCAACCCUGAAACCCUGGUAUAAUAAAAGUAAACUAUGGCCAAGGCAACAAGUUACCUUGAUUCAACUAUCUAUAAACCCAUCAGAACAAUUCAGUAGAUAGAUAGUAAAAUAAUUAAUAAAUUAAGUCCUUGUAAGUUUCCUCUGCCAACGAAAGUGGUGAUAGUUAUAUUGAUGUUAAAUAUGUAUAUAUCAAUCAAGAGACUGAUUAUUAAGUUAAAAGAUGUGACUAGAAUAUUAAUAGUAAUCACAUUCAGUCUUACAUUUAUGAUACUCAGCAUGUUAAGUUUUUAUAAUUAUGAAAGAUAAAUGAUUAGAACAAAAGAGAAUUAGCUCACACAACUGAUUUGAGUUGGCCUCAAAAUGUAAAAAUCUAGAGCAGUAUGUUGCCUUGGAAUAUUUUGGUUUUCCAAAAGUGAGUAGUCAUCAAAAUAGACAGAGAGUUGCCCACAGUUUGUGUACUGUAGAUAUAUACACACAUAAAUGAAUACGCCCACGCCCUAAAGAUAUGAACAAGCUUUUACCUCGCACUAAAAACAAGAACACACAACAUAAAGCACACUUGUGACACACACACCGAGCUGCAAUUUACCUGACGACCAGUCGAUUAACCAGCUGGAACCAUCUCUCUUGGUCGGACUGAGUAUUCCCCCCGGAGUUUCCCUCUUCACGGGACAAACAAAUACCAAGAAAAAGCACAAGUACAUAUCUCCCAGUUCACAUCUGUUUGUUUAAUAUGUCAACCACCUGCUCUCCGGCUCCCUCCCCACACUUCUUUGUGUGUGUGUGUGUGUGUGUGUGUGUGUGUGUGUGUGUGUGUGUGUGUGUGUGUGUGUGUGUGUGUGUGUGUGUGUGUGUGUGUGUGUGUGUGUGUGUGUAUAAAUGAACAACAGUGGAUAUUUAGAAAGAUAAAGAGAACAAGAUAUUGGGAGGAGAGUAGAAAUAGUGAGGGGAGCUCUGUGCAGGGUGCAUCCAUCGGUGACAUCAUUUUCACUGGCAAUAAAGUGGACGGGAUGAUUACAUGUUGUCACUGUGCAUGUGCAUGAAUAACUAAUAUUUAAUUCAAGAUUUCAGCUGCGUAUGUGUGUGUGUGUGUGUGUGUGUGCACGUGUGAGUACGGCAAAUGUAAGGCGCCUCAUUCUCAUAUGUGCUGACCAUAUACAUUUUCCCCCCCUUUUAUAAGUUGAAAUAACUUAAUAAUACAAAACACCAGUCUAGAGUUAAAGAACAUUUGUGGUGAUGCUUCACUGCCAUCGUUUGGUGCAUUAUUACUGAGAGACCACUAGAGAGCAGCAGUUCCUCUUUGCAUCACCAGAGGCUCAUCUGAAAAACUUCAGCUUCAUUUUAGUUUGGACAAGUAAGAUAAAGAGAAAAAAAAGGUUUUAUAUUGAAAACAUAGUGAUGUAAGCUUGACUAUCUGUAUUUAAAAGAAAAACAUUUUCAAUGGAUUUGUCUGUGAGAGGCCCCGUUCUGCUUACACGGUAGCUGAUUAUGAAAGCACUGUAUGACACCCUGACAAAUGUAAUUUUUCACCAGUUGUCCCUGUUAUGAAAAUACAUUUGUAGAAUGUUCAAGUAUUUUUUAUUAAUGUAGACGUAAUUGGAUAUAUGAUGUCAUUACUGUAGCAGCGAAUAAGUGGUUUGACACUCUAAAGGCUAUUUAUAUUUAUAUUAUUUAUUUCAGCUUUCAACUGGAAGAUAUUUCCAAUAAUAGUUUCCAUUGGUUUUAUUCCAAAUUAUUUUAGAAGUUGAGGAGGGACUUCAUACAUUUUCCCUACAGCCACCUGUCAUCCGGACUAUUCCUCUACAAAUCACAGACAAACUUGACAUGAGUGUUUCCUGUCUCAAGUGGAAACAUUGGAGAAAAAUAAAUAUUAUCCUCCGGUAUCCAUGGUUACACGCUGAUCCUUCGCUGCAACUUCCACAAUCAGGACCGACUCUGAGGUUUUAAUAUCUACUGGAUAGUCUUGCGCAGAGGUUCCCUGACCACUGACCCUGACUGGGGUCUCUCACAGACAGCAGGCAACCUUCAGCUGGUAUUCAGAUGUAUCAAAACAAUUUAAUUUAGGAUAUUGCUGAGCAUAUAGCUGAGGAUUUUUUCGAAAGAUCAUGGUUUUCCAGUAGAUUACAUCUUCGUUGAAUAAAUAUCCACUUGGGUGUCCCCAUCAGAAACUCUGUUUCAAAAAACAAUAUUGUUGUCUGUGCACUGAAAAAAAGCAAAUUGCUUACCAACUUGCAUGGAAGUUAAUAUCUUGGAACAGAUUGAACCUGAGGUAUUUUGGCCCACAGGGAAGUUUCUCACUUUGCUGAGUUGAUUGUAGUUGAAUUUAAAAUUAUGUAGAAUUGAAAAUUAUGUAGAAUUGAAAAUAUAUGUAUAUUUUGUAUAUAUAUAUAUAAUGUCUAAUGGUAUAUAUAAUGUACAAGCUAUACAUCGUAAGUUCACGAACAGUUUGUAAGUAUACUGAAAGUGUAACGUUUCAUCUACUUCAUACAUCACACAAUUUUAGAGUGAAAGUGUGGCACCCAGUUGAGUGCAUACCUUGCUCAAGGACCAACAGUCCUCUUAGAUUCAAUCAAAUCACAACAAAUUGAAUGGGUUCUUCAUGUGGAAGAAGUUUGUACAUUAUAUCCAUUUCACAUGUACAUGUACAUUGUUAUCAUAUUUAUUAAACAAUUAAACAAUUUACACCGUUGGUACUGCACGUGCGUGAACUCGCGUGCGCAGCCGUCCCACUUUUAUUCUAGAGAGAGAGAGAGAGAGAGAGAGAGAGAGAGAGAGAGAGAGAGAGAGAGAGAGAGAGAGAGAGAGAGAGAGAGAGAGAGAGAGAGAGAGAGAGAGAGAGAGAGAGAGAGAGAGAGAGAGAGAGAGAGAGAGAGAGAGAGAGAGAGAGA
ensembl:lncRNA